AUGGGGAGUGGAAAGACGGGGCGGCGGCGGCGUGCCAGAGUCUCUUGGGCUCCCGUCCCCUGUCAUAAUCAAAUCACAACCACAACCGACGAGGCUUCAGUUAACAUUCCCAACUUAUUGGCCAAUACAACGAUAAUCAGUGCCUCACCCCGCUCCACUCCAUGCCAGCCCAACAGUCAUGUUAUUGAACACUGGAGAGAAACCGAGCACCACUUUUCACUUGAAUUAGAAAUGCCAAAGGAAAACCAUAGGAUGAUUUCAGAAUCACCAUGGGUUGAAAGAGCAGCUGGCUAUCACGUGAUGGCCAAUUCUGUGGACGUGACUUGGAGCGUCAGAAGGUUUUCUCUAUGUGUAAGAUCCAUUGGUGAUAUUUACUUGAAGAAGUCGGAGUACAACAUGGACCGAAUAUUUCAGAAAAUUGGCCUUGUUAUUGCAUUGAAGAGGCUAGCUCUUACCGCUGAACCACAAAUUCAUGUUCGCUAG
rnacentral:rRNA from 1 species